AGAAAUACUUCGCUGAUGUGGGGGUGGGUCUGAAGCUUCUAGAAGAUUAACAUAGGCUCUCCAUCUCCUACUCCUACAAAAUACGUCCCCGUCGUAGAGAACGGUAACAUGCCUCUCAAUUAUCCAAGCUUGGGUAUACCCAACCCCUUGGGAGGAUGGGUAGCAUAGGCUAAAUUGAGAGAG
rnacentral:ribozyme from 1 species